rnacentral:rRNA from 1 species
UACGUAGGGUGCGAGCGUUGUCCGGAAUUAUUGGGCGUAAAGGGCUCGUAGGCGAUUUGUUGCGUCAGGAGUGAAAACUCGGGGCUUAACCCCGAGCCUGCUUCUGAUACGGGCAGACUAGAGGUAUGCAGGGGAGAACGGAAUUCCUGGUGUAGCGGUGAAAUGCGCAGAUAUCAGGAGGAACACCGGCGGCGAAAGCGGCGCACUGGACCUUUUCUGACGCUGAGGCGCGAAAACUAGGGGAGCAAACGGG